rnacentral:misc_RNA from 1 species
GAUGAAGAACGCAGCGAAAUGCGAUACGUAAUGUGAAUUGCAGAAUUCAGUGAAUCAUCGAGUCUUUGAACGCACAUUGCGCCCCCUGGUAUUCCGGGGGGCAUGCCUGUCCGAGCGUCAUUGCUGCCCUCAAGCACGGCUUGUGUGUUGGGCCUCCGUCCUCCUCCCGGGGGACGGGCCCGAAAGGCAGCGGCGGCACCGCGUCCGGUCCUCGAGCGUAUGGGGCUUCGUCACCCGCUCUUGUAGGCCCGGCCGGCGCUUGCCGACACAUCAAUCUUUUUUCCAGGUUGACCUCGGAUCAGGUAGGGAUACCCGCUGAACUUAAGCAUAUCAAUCGGAGGA